ACGAACUCCUACGGGAGGCAGCAGUGAGGAAUAUUGGUCAAUGGGCGAGAGCCUGAACCAGCCAAGUAGCGUGCAGGAUGACGGCCCUAUGGGUUGUAAACUGCUUUUAUGCGGGGAUAAAGUGAGCCACGUGUGGCUUAUUGCAGGUACCGCAUGAAUAAGGACCGGCUAAUUCCGUGC
rnacentral:rRNA from 1 species